AUGGACUGGACCUGGACAACCCUGCUCCUGGUGGCCGUGGCUACAGGUGUCCAUUCCCAGGUGCAGCUGAUACAGCCUGGGGCUGAGGUGAGGAAGCCUGGGGCCUCAGUGAAGGUCUCCUGCAAGGCUUCUGGGUACUCCUUCACCAGCUAUGGUAUGAAUUGGGUGCGACAGGCCGCGGGAAAAAGUCUCCAGUAUAUUGGCUGGAUCAACACAAACACUGGGAAACCAACGUAUGCCCAGGGCUUCUCAGAACGAUUUGUCUUCUCCAUGGACACCACUGUCAGCACAGCCUUUCUGCAGAUCAAUGACCUCAAGUCUGAGGACUCGGCCGUGUAUUACUGUGCGAGGGACACA